rnacentral:tRNA from 8 species
AGGCCAGUAGCUCAAUUUGGCAGAGCACCGCUCUCCAAAAGCGGGGGUUGUGGGUUCGAUUCCUGCCUGGCCUGCCU